rnacentral:rRNA from 1 species
CGGCAGAGGCAGGCGGAAUUCGUGGUGUAGCGGUGAAAUGCUUAGAUAUCACGAAGAACUCCGAUUGCGAAGGCAGCUUGCUGGAGCGUAACUGACGUUGAUGCUCGAAAGUGUGGGUAUCAAACAGGAUUAGAUACCCUGGUAGUCCACACGGUAAACGAUGAAUACUCGCUGUUGGCGAUAUACGGUCAGCGGCCAAGCGAAAGCAUUAAGUAUUCCACCUGGGGAGUACGCCGGCAACGGUGAAACUCAAAGGAAUUGACGGGGGCCCGCACAAGCGGAGGAACAUGUGGUUUAAUUCGAUGAUACGCGAGGAACCUUACCCGGGCUUAAAUUAUGCAUGAAUGAUUUGGAGACAGAUCAGCCGCAAGGCAUGUAUGAAGGUGCUGCAUGGUUGUCGUCAGCUCGUGCCGUGAGGUGUCGGCUUAAGUGCCAUAACGAGCGCAACCCUUUCUGUCAGUUACUAACAGGUAAUGCUGAGGACUCUGGCGGUACUGCCAUCGUAAGAUGUGAGGAAGGUGGGGAUGACGUCAAAUCAGCACGGCCCUUACGUCCGGGGCUACACACGUGUUACAAUGGGGGGUACAGAAGGCAGCUUGCCGGCGACGGCUGGCCAAUCCCUAAAUCCUCUCUCAGUUCGGACUGGAGUCUGCAACCCGACUCCACGAAGCUGGAUUCGCUAGUAAUCGCGCAUCAGCCACGGCGCGGUGAAUACGUUCCCGGGCCUUGUACACACCGCCCGUCAAGCCGUGAAAGCCGGGAGUACCUGAAGUGCGUAACCGGAAGGAGCGCCCUAGGGUAACACUGGUAAUUGGGGCUAAGUCGUAACAAGGUAACCA